GAUGAACGCUGGCGGCGUGCCUAAUACAUGCAAGUCGAGCGAACGGACGAGAAGCUUGCUUUUCUGAUGUUAGCGGCGGACGGGUGAGUAACACGUGGAGAACCUACCUAUAAGACUGGGAUAACUUCGGGAAACCGGAGCUAAUACCGGAUAAUAUUUUGAACCGCAUGGUUCAAAAGUGAAAGACGGUCUUGCUGUCACUUAUAGAUGGAACCGCGCUGCAUUAGCUAGUUGGGAAGGUAACGGCUUACCAAGGCAACGAUGCAUAGCCGACCUGAGAGGGUGAUCGGCCACACUGGAACUGAGACACGGUCCAGACUACUACGGGAGGCAGCAGUAGGGAAUCUUCCGCAAUGGGCGAAAGCCUGACGGAGCAACGCCGCGUGAGUGAUGAAGGCCUUCGGAUCGUAAAACUCUGUUAUUAGGGAAGAACAUAUGUGUAAGUAACUGUGCACAUCUUGACGGUACCUAAUCAGAAAGCCACGGCUAACUACGUG
rnacentral:rRNA from 1 species